GAUGAACGCUGGCGGCGUGCCUAAUACAUGCAAGUCGAGCGAACAGACGAGGAGCUUGCUCCUCUGACGUUAGCGGCGGACGGGUGAGUAACACGUGGAUAACCUACCUAUAAGACUGGGAUAACUUCGGGAAACCGGAGCUAAUACCGGAUAAUAUAUUGAACCGCAUGGUUCAAUAGUGAAAGACGGUUUUGCUGUCACUUAUAGAUGGAUCCGCGCCGCAUUAGCUAGUUGGUAAGGUAACGGCUUACCAAGGCAACGAUGCGUAGCCGACCUGAGAGGGUGAUCGGCCACACUGGAACUGAGACACGGUCCAGACUCCUACGGGAGGCAGCAGUAGGGAAUCUUCGGCAAAGGGCGAAAGCCUGACGGAGCAACGCCGCGUGAGUGAUGAAGGUCUUCGGAUCGUAAAACUCUGUUAUUAGGGAAGAACAAAUGUGUAAGUAACUAUGCACGUCUUGACGGUACCUAAUCAGAAAGCCACGGCUAACUACGUG
rnacentral:rRNA from 1 species